GAUGAACGCUGGCGGCGUGCCUAAUACAUGCAAGUCGAGCGAAAAGACGAGGAGCUUGCUCCUCUGACGUUAGCGGAGGACGGGAGAGAAACACGUGGAUAACCUACCUAUAAGACUGGGAUAACUUCGGGAAACGGGAGCUAAUACGGGAUAAUAUAUUGAACCGCAGGGGUCAAUAGAGAAAGACGGCGUUGGUGUAACUAAUAGAUGGAUCCGCGCCGGAUUAGCUAGUUGGUAAGCUCAAGGCUUACCAAGGCGACGAUGCGUAGCCGAGCUCAUAGGCUGGUCGGCCACCCUGGAACUGAGACACGGUCCAGACUCCUGCGGGAGGCAGCAGUAGGGUAUCUUCCGCAAUAGUCGAAAGCCUUACGGAGCGACGCCGCGUCAGUGAUGAAGGUCUUCCGUUCGUAAUACUCUGUUAUUAGUGAAGAACAAAUUUGUAAUUAACUAUGCACUUCUUGACGGUACCUAAUCAGAAAGCCACGGCUAACUACGUG
rnacentral:rRNA from 1 species